AGCGGCGGACGGGUGAGUAACGCGUGGGUAACCUGCCUCAUACAGGAGGAUAACAGUUAGAAAUGACUGCUAAUACCGCAUAAGACCACAGCACCGCAUGGUGCGGGGGUAAAAACUCCGGUGGUAUGAGAUGGACCCGCGUCUGAUUAGCUAGUUGGUAAGGUAACGGCUUACCAAGGCGACGAUCAGUAGCCGACCUGAGAGGGUGACCGGCCACAUUGGGACUGAGACACGGCCCAA
rnacentral:rRNA from 1 species